CUAGAUGCAUGCUCGAGCGGCCGCCAGUGUGAUGGAUAUCUGCAGAAUUCGCCCUUAGAGUUUGAUCAUGGCUCAGAACGUACGCUGGCGGCACGCCUAACACAUGCAAGUCGAACGAAGUAGCAAUACUUAGUGGCAGACGGGUGAGUAACAUGUGGGUAUCUGCCCUUUGGCCUGGAAUAACACGAGGAAGCUUGUGCUAAUACCGGAUAAGUCUUUACGGAGAAAGCUUUAUGCACCAUUGGAUGAGCCUGCACUUGAUUAGUUUGUUGGUGGGGUAAUGGCCUACCAAGACUGUGAUCAAUAGCUGAUUUGAGAGGAUGAUCAGCCACAUUGGGACUGAGACACGGCCCAAACUCCUACGGGAGGCAGCAGUGGGGAAUCUUGCACAAUGGAGGAAACUCUGAUGCAGCGAUGCCGCGUGAGUGAAGAAGGCCCUUGGGUUGUAAAGCUCUUUCGUCGGGGAAGAAAAUGACUGUACCCGAAUAAGAAGGUCCGGCUAACUUCGUGCCAGCAGCCGCGGUAAUACGAAGGGACCUAGCGUAGUUCGGAAUUACUGGGCUUAAAGAGUUCGUAGGUGGUUGAAAAAGUUAGUGGUGAAAUCCCAGAGCUUAACUCUGGAACUGCCAUUAAAACUUUUCAGCUAGAGUAUGAUAGAGGAAAGCAGAAUUUCUAGUGUAGAGGUGAAAUUCGUAGAUAUUAGAAAGAAUACCAAUUGCGAAGGCAGCUUUCUGGAUCAUUACUGACACUGAGGAACGAAAGCAUGGGUAGCGAAGAGGAUUAGAUACCCUCGUAGUCCAUGCCGUAAACGAUGUGUGUUAGACGUUGGAAAUUUAUUUUCAGUGUCGCAGCGAAAGCGA
rnacentral:rRNA from 1 species